UUUUCCUGAAACAAGACAAAAGGAGGACAGCUUUGGACAGCCCUGCUGCUGAUCAGAGAGGGAAGAUCCUGACAUUGUUAUCAGCAUUUGAUGAGGCACAAAAAAGUGCCAAUCCAAGAUUAAGCCCCAAAAUCACUGGACUCAAAGCUUAUGCCAAGAUGUUUGGGAAGAAAGUCAAAAUGGAGGGUUUGAAUGGAGGCCAGUCUAAUCCCCCUUUCCAUCAAGAAGGCACUGCUGAGCUGAGUGAGGAUCUCCUGGAAAUCAAUCCUUUACAUGGAAAGAACUUCAGGAAAUCAGCACCGCAGGUACCCAAGAAAUCCAAGAAGAGAGCCUGCUUUUGGAAAUACUGCGUUCAGAAAAAGUAGGUUUUUCACCCUUCAAUCAACGGAUCAUUGUGGUGACAGAGGAAUUUGACCCUGACAGAAGAAUCUUCAACAGCUGAAGACCUCUCCACGCAACUGCUUAAUAAAGUAACUCUUUGACCAUAUUUGCCUUGCGUA
rnacentral:lncRNA from 1 species